ensembl:lncRNA
UGCAAAGUGACAUGUUGUCUAAACAUACAAGGGGACUAGUGAGCCUGGCGGUGCUGUUACGGGUGUGCCCACCCAUGGGAAGUACAGAGACUUUACUGCCAGGUGGCUGGGAUUUAUUUUAAUCAGGGCUCUGGGUGGAGCAGACUGCACCUCCGUGCAAACCAGGUGGAGGAACACACUUCACCCUCGUGUUCAUCCACAGAUGCUCCGUGUCUCUGGCCUGCCAUAAAAUCUGUGAAAGUCGUCCUUGUAAAACCACGUCAUUGCUCCGGGGGGAAAUCCUUUGACUUUGCAGUGAAUAAUGGUAUGAUGGAGAAAGAUGUCACUGCCUAUGAAACGGGACACUUGGAGUGUUCCAGAAUGAUGUUCUACAUGGGAGGGGAGCCCAGCUGAACUCCACUGGGAAAGGCUAACCCCUCCGCAGGGUGACAUUUACUUCAUUUUCCCCUCAUGCGGGCAAGGCCAGGCUUCCUGUAGCUCAACCCGUCAGAAGCUUCUGUUCCAAAGACUGCUGGCUGUUCCCCAAUAUCUAUUUCCCCUUCUUUAAGAGGAACAGAAUCUGGCUUUGGGGACUGGGGACAGAGUCGUUCAGAAUCAAGCCUACAUUUCCCAGGCUCCCUUGCAGCUGGCUGUGGUCAUGUGACUAAGUCCUUCCCAGGGGGAUGGGAUGGUGAACAGCCAGGACCUCCACACUGCAGAACUGCCAUGCCAGUCCUGAGCUGCUUACUCUCAGAAGAUUCCGUGAGAGAGAAGGAAGCUGCAGCUGGAACAAUAUUCUAAUUCAAGGAGAUGGAUUCCUCACCAUAGAUGCUCGCAUCCCAGACUCCAAGGGAGGGGUCACCCAGGCCUGUGUCCUUGUUAGGGUGCCCCCCUUCCCACAAUUGGACUCUAGUGUAAAAUCAUGUUUUGAGCUUUGUUCAUGAUGCCCACCGCUAGUGGCCUUUGUUCUUUGGGGUCCAGCAGAGAAUUUAGGCACUGGAAGAUGCAAACAGACUCUCUCUACAUUUUAUUUCUAAGCCACAAAUGAAAUCUCCAUGCAUGACCACAUUGUAAUUGCUGACGACAUUUCUGUUAUCGUCUCACACAAGAUAAGAAAAAAAUAUUACAGCACAUUGACUGA